CGAGACUCAGUGAAAUUGAAAUCGCUGUGAAGAUGCAGUGUACCCGCGGCUAGACGGAAAGACCCCGUGAACCUUUACUACAGCUUGGCACUGAACAUUGAACCUACAUGUGUAGGAUAGGUGGGAGGCUAUGAAGACGUGACGCCAGUUGCGUUGGAGCCGUCCUUGAAAUACCACCCUUGUAUGUUUGAUGUUCUAACUUAGACCCAUUAUCUGGGUUGAGGACAGUGCCUGGUGGGUAGUUUGACUGGGGCGGUCUCCUCCCAAAGAGUAACGGAGGAGCACGAAGGUGGGCUAAUCACGGUUGGACAUCGUGAGGUUAGUGCAAUGGCAUAAGCCCGCUUAACUGCGAGAAUGACGGUUCGAGCAGGUGCGAAAGCAGGUCAUAGUGAUCCGGUGGUUCUGUAUGGAAGGGCCAUCGCUCAACGGAUAAAAGGUACUCCGGGGAUAACAGGCUGAUACCGCCCAAGAGUUCAUAUCGACGGCGGUGUUUGGCACCUCGAUGUCGGCUCAUCACAUCCUGGGGCUGAAGUCGGUCCCAAGGGUAUGGCUGUUCGCCAUUUAAAGUGGUACGCGAGCUGGGUUUAGAACGUCGUGAGACAGUUCGGUCCCUAUCUGCCGUGGGCGU
rnacentral:rRNA from 1 species